ACUUGUUUGUUGCUGUUUCGCCAACAUGAGAGUUUCACAUAUUCUGUACAUGGAAUUUGCUGCCAACACCCUGAUGGGCCAACGUGACGGAACCUCCUUCCAAAAAUCAUUCAUAUGCAUCAUGUCUAUAUCGGAGAAUUCCUUGAAUUUUUCCUUUGAGAUAUCAGAUAGUAAUUUGAUAAUUUCAAUUUCUGUUGCAGGUUCUCGUUGAUGUGCUAGCUUACCAAGAUCAACAUCUAACCACUUGUUAUACAGUUCAACUCCUGACCAUACAACUUCUGCUGCUUUCGUGACAUGUUUCAAGUCUUUUUUGUUGUCCAGAUGAUUCUCUAUCUCACUGACAUACUUCAAC
rnacentral:lncRNA from 1 species